rnacentral:rRNA from 1 species
GACUACUGGGGUAUCUAAGCCUGUUUGCUCCCCAAGCUUUCGAGCAUGAGCGUCAGUAUUUGGCCAGGUAAUCGCCUUCGCAACUGGUGUUCUUCCAGAUAUCUACGCAUUCCACCGCUACACCUGGAAUUCCAUUACCCUCUCCAACACUCAAGUCUUGUAGUUUCAAAGGCAGUGACUAUGUUAAGCAUAGACAUUUCACCCCUGACUUACAAGACCGCCUGCGCUCCCUUUACACCCAGUAAAUCCGAACAACACUUGCUCCCCUCGUAUUACCGCGGCUGCUGGCACGAAGUUAGCCGGAGCUUAUUCAAGAGGUACCGUCAGGCCGACCAAUCGGCGGUUCUUCCCUCUUAAAAGGAGUUUACAUUCCGAAGAACGUCAUCCUCCACGCGGCGUCGCUGCGUCAGGGUUUCCCCCAUUGCGCAAGAUUCCCCACUGCUGCCCCCCGUAGG